GACGAACGCUGGCGGCGUGCCUAACACAUGCAAGUCGAACGGAACUGUUUUGAAAGAUUUCUUCGGAAUGAAUUUGAUUUAGUUUAGUGGCGGACGGGUGAGUAACGCGUGAGUAACCUGCCUUCAAGAGGGGGAUAACAUUCUGAAAAGAAUGCUAAUACCGCAUGACAUAUCGGAAUCACAUGAUUUUGAUAUCAAAGAUUUUAUCGCUUGAAGAUGGACUCGCGUCCGAUUAGUUAGUUGGUGAGGU
rnacentral:rRNA from 1 species